rnacentral:rRNA from 1 species
GUGGGGAAUCUUCCGCAAUGGACGAAAGUCUGACGGAGCAACGCCGCGUGAGUGAAGAAGGUCUUCGGAUUGUAAAGCUCUGUCGUUUGGGACGAACGUGGGUUGUGUGAAUAAUGCAAUCUAAUGACGGUACCAAAGGAGGAAGCCACGGCUAACUACGUGCCAGCAGCCGCGGUAAUACGUAGGUGGCAAGCGUUGUCCGGAAUUAUUGGGCGUAAAGGGCGUGUAGGUGGAUUCUUAAGUCGUGUGUCUAAGUGCGGUGCUCAACACCGUAUGGGCGCAGGAAACUGGGAAUCUUGAGUGCAGGAGAGGAAAGUGGAAUUCCCAGUGUAGCGGUGAAAUGCGUAGAUAUUGGGAGGAACACCAGUGGCGAAGGCGACUUUCUGGACUGUGUCUGACACUGAGGCGCGAAAGCCAGGGGAGCGAACGGGAUUAGAAACCCGAGUAGUCC